rfam:Sorghum bicolor cultivar BTx623 chromosome 5, whole genome shotgun sequence.
AUUCCAUGAUGAGGGCAUUCCCGAAUGUACUCCUAGAGACGUUCCCAUGCUUCGGGAAUGGUCUCUUCUGCCUUUUGACAGAAGCUGGAAAUUCUUGCCCUUAGAGC